rnacentral:rRNA from 1 species
UACGAAGGGGGCUAGCGUUGCUCGGAAUUACUGGGCGUAAAGCGCACGUAGGCGGAUCUUUAAGUCAGGGGUGAAAUCCCAAGGCUCAACCUUGGAACUGCCUUUGAUACUGGGGAUCUCGAGUCCGGAAGAGGUGAGUGGAACUGCGAGUGUAGAGGUGAAAAUUCGUAGAUAUUCGCAAGAACACCAGUGGCGAAGGCGGACUCACUGGCCCCGAUACUGACGCUGAGGUGCGGAAAGCGAGGG